AAGCCACUGAAGCCAGGGGCUGUUUGGUACCAGCUGUGUCUCAUGGUUGGCUAACAACGAGCCUGAAGAAGCUCCAACUUGGGAAUCUACAUACCAGCAUUUCGGGGAGACCCAGGCUUGCUCUGCACCCACUCUUCUGUGCAUUUCAGUAUCACAGCCCCAUUGGUCCAGGCCAUGUGGCCCUGCCUGCCUGAAGACUGAAUUAGUCCAUGUGUCUAUGGAACAGAGGCGAGCAAGCAGAUAAUCAUGGGUUUAUGUCAAGUGUUUAAUUUAAACAACUGCGCUCCAACGUUUAGAGGAGAAUAAAUUCUUGGAAUGGAGAUGAAAUGUCCAGCUUGGAGGCCAGCUAUGGCGGCACUUGGGAGGCAGAGGUGGGAGGAUCUCUGUGAUUUGAGGCUCGCCUGGUCUACAAAGUAUGUUCCAGAACAGCCAGGGCUAAGUAUGAGACCCUGUCAUUCUGAGUGGCAUCCUUCCGAUCUGCUUCCCAUGUGUGUGCGUGUGUGCAGCUAGGGCCUGCCCCACUGCCCGUGGCUUCUGAGAUAACUCCUAAAGGAGGUAAAAGUGUUGUUGGAAAAGUUCACCAGGAAAAGAACAUUCCCGUUACAGAAGAAAAUUGCAAAACUGAGACAGAAAUAAAGACCACGAUGCAGCCACAGAAGAAUCUCGACCUUCUUGAACACUGAAAAGCUAGCUGCUACGGUUGUUUCCAUUACAAUAGGAUUCUCAGUGAAAAUCGAGCCUUAUGCGUGAGAUCAAUCAGGGCAGGUAGGGUCAGGCGUCGAGUGGUCCAGGACACGGGUAGCGGAAUCUUAACGGGAGUCAUCAGGUUCCUUUCCCACUGAGAAUGCAAGUACAUUUCUCAGAGGUCAGUUGAUCUGGUAAAGCAUCUCAAAGGCCUGAAUCACUCCGUGAUUGUGGACAAUUGGCUGAACCCCAUCUCAGUGGAAGGUAGUUUAAAAAAAAAUGAAGAAAACACUCAACCAAACCACGUGAAUGCCAAGAGAGAACUGCCUUCCUAGGACGCGAACAGAUCCUAGUGCGGGAUUAAGGAACGUUCUGAAGUGAAUAUGUCAGGCUGGGAAUGACGACGUUCGUAAAGCAUGGGUGGAAUGAAGAGAGACACCGAUAAAGGAAACAUCUGAGCCUUUGAUUUCCCCUGGAAACUGUGCAGUGGAAACGCUCAUUUCCAGUGAGGCACAUCGUUGAACUGCACCUAUAAAUUUGACAGAUGAGUAUUUGUGUAGCCUUCUAAGUAAAGACAGCAGAUUCUCCAUUUCUUACCGAGGAUUUGAUUUAAAUAAAUGUGCCUAUUACAUUUCCUUCUUCAUCUACACCCUGGGCAUUUUGUUUAAGAAAAGGGUUACUC
rnacentral:lncRNA from 1 species